rnacentral:misc_RNA from 1 species
UACGAAGGGUGCUAGCGUUAUUCGGAAUUACUGGGCGUAAAGCGCACGCAGGUGGUCUGUCAAGUAGGAUGUGAAAUCCCCGGGCUCAACCUGGGACCUGCAUCCGAAACUGGCAGGCUAGAGUCUUGUAGAGGGGGGUAGAAUUCCCGGUGUAGCGGUGAAAUGCGUAGAGAUCGGGAGGAAUACCGGUGGCGAAGGCGGCCCCCUGGACAAAGACUGACGCUCAGGUGCGAAAGCGUGGGGAGCAAACAGG